rnacentral:rRNA from 1 species
GACGAACGCUGGCGGCGUGCCUAAUACAUGCAAGUCGAACGCACUCUCGUUUAGAUUGAAGGAGUUUGCUCCUGAUUGAUAAACAUUUGAGUGAGUGGCGGACGGGUGAGUAACACGUGGGUAACCUGCCCUAAAGUGGGGGAUAACAUUUGGAAACAGAUGCUAAUACCGCAUAAAACCUAACACCGCAUGGUGUAGGGUUGAAAGAUGGUUUCGGCUAUCACUUUAGGAUGGACCCGCGGUGCAUUAGUUAGUUGGUGAGGUAAAGGCUCACCAAGACCGCGAUGCAUAGCCGACCUGAGAGGGUAAUCGGCCACACUGGGACUGAGACACGGCCCAGACUCCUACGGGAGGCAGCAGUAGGGAAUCUUCCACAAUGGACGAAAGUCUGAUGGAGCAACGCCGCGUGAGUGAAGAAGGUUUUCGGAUCGUAAAACUCUGUUGUUGGAGAAGAAUGUAUCUGAUAGUAACUGAUCAGGUAGUGACGGUAUCCAACCAGAAAGCCACGGCUAACUACGUG